UACGGGGGGGGCAAGCGUUGUUCGGAAUUACUGGGCGUAAAGGGCUCGUAGGCGGCCAACUAAGUCAGACGUGAAAUCCCUCGGCUUAACCGGGGAACUGCGUCUGAUACUGGAUGGCUUGAGGUUGGGAGAGGGAUGCGGAAUUCCAGGUGUAGCGGUGAAAUGCGUAGAUAUCUGGAGGAACACCGGUGGCGAAGGCGGCAUCCUGGACCAAUUCGGAGGCUGAGGAGCGAAAGCCAGGGGAGCAAACGGG
rnacentral:rRNA from 1 species